AUGGCCUCAGUCGCAGCUCGGCGGAGGCAGGAGCUGGCGGCGGAGGGCCAGCGGCACCUCGAGGAGACGAUCGCCUCCGCUUUCCAGAUCCUUUCCUCCAUGAACGACGAGCUCUGCAACCCCGCGCUCUGGUCCUCCUCCGCCACAGCCACCGCCGCUUCCGCCGCCUCCCAGCAUCCCCACCACCAAAACGCAGCUCCCCCGCCACCCCACUCCGCCGACUCCGACGCCGAUACCAUGGGGGGAGCCGCGGGGGGCUCUGGUGGUUCGCUCGACGAGGCGAGGCACCGGUACAAGAUCGCCGUGGCGGCUUUGCGCGCGUCCAUUGCCGCGGUGUCUCCCUCUACUCAGGAGAUGGGGCCAACAGAAUCCAAAGGUGAUCAAGCCGAGAUUGAGAGAUUGGAAGAGCAUGCAUCUUCUUUGAGAAAGGAAAUUGAAAGCAAAAACAAACAGCUGAAACUCCUCAUCGAUCAACUCCGUGAUCUAAUAUCAGAUAUAUCAAUGUGGCAAAGCCCUUGCUCGGUGUGA
rnacentral:rRNA from 1 species